UACGUAGGGUGCAAGCGUUGUCCGGAAUUAUUGGGCGUAAAGAGCUCGUAGGCGGUCUGUCGCGUCGGAUGUGAAAACCCAGGGCUCAACCCUGGGCCUGCAUUCGAUACGGGCAGACUAGAGUUCGGUAGGGGAGACUGGAAUUCCUGGUGUAGCGGUGAAAUGCGCAGAUAUCAGGAGGAACACCGGUGGCGAAGGCGGGUCUCUGGGCCGAAACUGACGCUGAGGAGCGAAAGCGUGGGGAGCGAACCGG
rnacentral:rRNA from 1 species